ensembl:lncRNA
GCACUGACAGCCCCCUCUCCCUCUCAGCAUUUCCUCUCUCUCCUCUCUCUCUGCCUCGUUCUCUCUUUCUCUCCCUCCCUCUCUCUCUCUCUCUUUUUGUCUCUCUUUAUGUCUAUGGCAUUGUGUCUGAAUAAUUUUCAGGCCUUUUUUUUUCCUUCCUUCUCAUAUGCACACGCUAAAAGAACUAGACAAAGAUACAAGGUGUUUGCUGCAGUCCACAUCUCUAGGAGAAAAAAAAAAAAAAGCUCAUGAUUACAGUGCCACUUUUUUUUUUUUUCUUUUUCUUUUUUUUUUUUUUUUUUUUCCACCUAUGCUCAGUGAUUAAACUUCCCCAGGAUGGGGAAGAAAUAAGAGGUGGAAUUGAAAUAGGGAUGAGGAAAAUACCAUUGCAGCAGCUGCAGUCAGUGGUGUCUGCUGCCAGAUGUGUGAAGGUUCCCGGGGUCCUGGACACUAAAAGGAUGCAUAAAAAUAUUUGGAGACAAAAGCUGCAUCCUCAGUGAUCAUUUUCUGUAUUUAACAUGGCAGCAGGCACCGUGUGGAGAAAUCAACAAGCUGGAUGUUGAACUGGACUUUCCUCCUUUCUAGGAUGAAAGGAUGUGAUCUAUCCCGUGCCAAAAGGGAGCUGAGCACAGAAGCGAUGAAUGCUGCAUAAUUAAGUACAGUAUUUAAUUUGGCUGUUGUGAAGCAAAAGAAUAAGGGGGAGGGGAAGAAAGUCUCCAAAACUAACCCGUCGCGAGCAAUGAACAUAUGGCUGUUAAUAUCAGCACUGGUGUAUUUGCAGCGAUGCCUAUCAACAUCCACCAGAGAGCAGGGCAGCUCCAAAACCCACAUCUUUCAUGCUGUGGAAAUUGAUGGAGACAGCAACACAGCCAGCUUCUUGGCCAAACAACAUGGAAUGCAGUUCAUUUCAAAGGUACUGGUCUCUCAGCCUGUAAGGCUUGUGCAUGAUGUAUAUGAGAACGAUUUCCAGCAGAGAGAAGCUUAUCACAGAUCCACCUAAAAGCUGCAAAAAGGAAGCAUUUGGCAGGAGAAGGGAGAUUGUUUCAAAACAGUUGGAUGAAAUGCUCCUAUGGUGCUGGAGUUUCACUCUGCCAUGAUCAAUGAAUAAUUAUUGCUUUCUGAUGUCAGUGGGAUCUGAUGAGAGUAAGAUGGUUAGAGUGCAAGCAGACAGCAAAAACAGCAGUGACAAAAACUUGCUGGUCUCCUCCUGCUGUCCAGCCUACAAGAUGUGAUCAACUCCUGGCAUAAGAGAAAGAAAUUUUGAAAGGAAGAGACGAUGGCAUCAACAAUGUGCCCCUGUGUCUGAAAGACAUAAUUACUGGGUGGAGGAACAGGCUGCUCAUCUCCUCCUGGGCAGGAUGAGAAUGGUGCCGAUAAAUAAACAGAGAGGAGGCUUUCUGCUACUGUAGGCUGUGCUGGAGGCUUCACCUUUUCCUGUCAGAUGUGGACUUUGCUACAGCAUUUCAAGGUUUGUUUAUCCCUGUGCUGGAUUGCUUCAGACUGUUCUGCUUGGGCUUGUCAGCUGAAAAGCAGAGAAACAUCACAUGUUAAAUCUUGAUGAAAUUUCUAAGCAACAUAAAGAAGAGUGCGGCCUAUUAUUUAGAUAUGGCAACAUACAGCACUGAAAUAUCUCCAAGGACAAGGUCAUUGUCUCCAGAUCUCCUAAUGGGGAGAUUUCUUGAGGACGGAGUUAUAGGGAAGCCCUAUAUGACAAAGAUCAGGACCGUACUUUUAAGCAAUAAGGGGGUCUUUUUAGUGAAGGCUCUCUGGCCUGAAAAUAGGGAUGGGAUGUGCAUUAGCACCCGAUGGGACCACUCUACAUAAUGUUUCCUCCAGAACAAUGGCAUUUUCUUCCUUCCAUUAUAUUCCUCUGCAACCUACAUACUUUUCAAAAAUAUAUAUUUUUACACUUAUAUAUGCUUAGGCUUCAGUAUGAGACCUGAUACAUGUUGGAUUAUGAUGUAAAUUCUUAUGUAUGUCUUUUCAUGAUGCUUCAAUAAAGCCAUCAAAAUUGAAAAUCAAAGAGAAACAAAAACAAAGGGGUAAGAACAUAUGGAGUGGGAUAAACCAAUUAUCAUCUUCAUUAUGAGUGUUGUUUGCUAAAAACUUCAGCUUUGAUUUAGCUUUAUGCGGUAACUCCAGUGGAAAUUUAUUUUACAGAAAUACAAAAAAAAUUCUGAAACUCUUACUUAGGUUUUGCAAGAAUCACUGACGCUCUGUAGAUUGCAUAGGACUACAGAACAGUGGAUUAGCAUGAAAAGAAGAGGGUUUCUACCUCUGAGAAGGUUUUUCUUCCUGUUCCAAAGUAUAUUCAUCGUGCUGUAUAGCUAAAUAAUAGGUGUGUCCUGUUCUAAGUCACAACACAAUCUUAGGAAUUUUUGCAACUCCUUUUGAGGCAAAGGUGUUUCUUUGUCUGUAAGUGGCAUGGCUACUGUGAUAAAUUGUUAAAUAUAUGCAUUUUUAGUAACAAAUACAUAAAAUAAUUAAAUUUCAAAUAAACAUAUUUGAAAUUUGUUUUGACAUGCAGUAAUUUUUAUUCCACGCUGGAAAGAAUGAGUUUAUAGAUUCAUGUUAUGAUUAAGGGUUAGCAUUAUUUUUGUUGUUUCUACAGUAAAUAAAACUAAACAACAACAAGCUCCACAACUCAGGCCUUACCUUCACAAAACUUUUGACUGUCAGGUUUUCCCUCUUUGUUCCUGCCCUUGUCAGUAUAAUGCAGCCUGGUGACUUUUGUCUCUGCAGCCAGUCUACCUCCCGUGAAGGUGCACACAGGGACACUAAAAAUUGCUAAGACUUUUGUGCUUCUGUUAUUGCCCCCAGACCUGAGAUCAGGUGAGGCUACAGGCAAGUGAGGUAAAGUCAUUAGAAUCUCCUCAAAAUUGGUUGUUAAUGAGCCAUCUGAUGAAGCAGAAGGAAAUGUUUUUGCUGCUUGUACUGACAACAAAUAAAGGGCAAGGGAAAAGAUUUGGAUGUAAAAAUAUCCCCCUUUGCAGGAGCAGCAUGAAUCAGCUGCAGUCUGUUUUGCAGUCACAUGCACAUUCUGAUAUAGGGUUUGGCAGCACAGGCGGGAAUUUUGCAGAAGGAUAUUUGUAUGUUUAUGUUGUAAAAUAAUACUAAACCUGCUUGGUUUGGGCUACAAAUUUCACAUUGUGAACUAGUUAAGUUCUGGGUUUUUGUCAGUAGAGAAUUGUGAGGCUAAAGUAAGCUUGAGUUCCUCAUUAGGUCAUUUCUGCACAUUUCUGGAUCCCACUUUCUUCUCUCCAGUCCCAUUAUUACUCAAGGUUUAUUUUCCUUUGGACUAAUAAUGCCAUCUUGUACACAUAAUCUUUUCCCUUCUCUGCUUCCUCCCCACUCUCCAUUUCUUCACUUCUUCAUUCACAUAUUCCCUUUGCUGUUUUAAUUCGUAUCAUUGUCCUUUCCCAGCGUUUUUUCAUUUGUUCAUCCCCCAUUCAGGUUUCAACUGGGCAAAUAAUAUUCUCCUCUUGGAGAAAUGGAUCUUCACUACGGUGAAGUUCCACUGUGAAUAUUCACAAGCUGGAAAUAAAACAUGGUUAUGUGUCAGUGACUGGUUCUCUAGGAAGACAAUCUUUAAAUUAAGAGGCUUUCAUUAAUGUCCUUUGUAAUGUAAAAUGAUUUGGCUUCAAAUUACUCAGUAUCUGAAUAUGAGUUAGACAAAAUACUUGUCAGGAUUUCAGUGGAUUAUGAAGCCUUACCUUAUAUAUCUUAAUUGUUUGAAUUUUCAUUGGAUUUGUAUGGACUGCCAAGCUUUAUAAUUUGUGUGUAUCUAUUUCAGUAUGAAAUCCUUGACUGCCUUAACUUAUUUUACUGCCCUUCUUGAUGCUAUAUCAAUGUUAAGCAUCAUGACACUAGUUGAGUGCAUUGCAUGAUCCUUAUUUCAACUUCAUUUUAACAUGUUUUUGGAAGCUUUAAAGAGGCAGAUAAUGUUCCAAAUUCCAAUUAGAAGCAAACAACAGAUUAGCAGAGUCUUUUGUCAAAUAGGAAAGCAGAAUUCUUUACCAGCAAGAGAGAGAUAUAACGUACACACUGGAGUGUAGAUGGUUUGAAGAAGUGGCUGCCUGUAAGCAUUAACAGACAACAAACAGUACAGAAACAUCGUUUCUUAUAAACUGUCAGAGCCUAGCCCUUUUACAAACUGUAAUCUUGACCCCAAGUCUUGCAUAGUAAUGAAAUAAUGACUAUACCUAGAUAUUAAAAAAAAUAAUGAAAAAACAAUUUGUAAAUUUUAUAUUGCCUAAUUCCACCUAGCAGCGAAUAGGAAAUAAAACAACAUUUUAAGAUAAGUAUAUUAAAGUCCAUUGCAUUUGAAAAGACAUGGAUUGUCAUUCCUGCUAUCUUAGGCUGCCUCAGCCUCUCUCCUAUGGGUACAUAUUAUGUUUGUUUUCAGAAUUGCUGAAGACAGAAAUACAGUCUGUGAGUUUGAGUGAACUUUCUUCACCUAAUUUCAAAUCUGCUUGAACUUAGUGACUUCAUAUAUUUGAUUUAAGCUUUCUGAGUUUGCAUUCAAUAAGGGAGAAGAAAGUGAAGGGAGAAGAGACAGAAAAUCCAAUGCAGAAAUAAUGUAAGGAAAAAAAAUGAGUUUGAUAUGCAUGCCACAUGUGAAUUACUUGUUUCUCUUUUAGUACCAUCUGUAUUGUGUAGCACAGAAGUUCUCCUUGCCCCUUCCAAAAAAUCAAGUUGGUGUUUUUGUUUUUAAUUUAAUCAUGCAUAAAGAAGAAUGGAGAGGUUAGAAAUAAUUUGUAAUAAAAUGUUCCUUAAAUUUGAGAUGUAAUAAAUGUCCACGUACAGAGAAGACAACUCAAUGAAUACAGAUAUCCUGACAAUAUCUGAGACAUUAAGAACAUUCAGCGAGUGUUUUCAUUUCAUCUGAUGCAGCCUUAGAGGAUAGACAGCUAUUACCAUUUAUUUGUGUCCAGCUUUGCAACAUAUUACUCCAAAAGCAAAUCAUGCUGUGAUGGAAGAUGUGAAAUUGAAUGAUCUAUGUUGCUCUCCUAUUGUCUGCCGGAAACUCUGUCCACCCCUGAUUUUAAUCACGUCCGCUUAGUGGUCAAGCUUAUUCACCUUGCUGGCCAGAUAAUCUGGUUCAGUGUCCACCGUUGCUCUUGCAGACUGGAAGUAAAAUCUUUUAUCUGUUUUCCCAGGCUCAGUGUUUCUUGCUGGGAGUCUUUGGUAGAAGCAGUAAAACUUACUGUAAAUAUCCUAGAAGUUAGUAACAUGCCUUCCUACAGGCACAUCUUCAUGAUUUUUCCAGUCUUUGUGAACUUAAAUAAAAUCUUUUGAGAUUUCUGUUCCUCUGUUUAAUUAUUUAUUUAUUUUAUACUUGUGGUAUAAAUAUCUUCACUGCUUCAAAUCUGAACUGUGAAUUGUCAACACAAUUCCAAAACAAGAGCUAAAUUUCAUUGUUUUCAUUUUCAUUUGUAUAAAUGAGAAUAUAAUUAAAUCCCACUAUCAACAUUAUGCCUGCCUGCGUAUACAGGUAUUCUUUUGUAGUACACCCACCUGACCUUGCUUGUUACAUUCUAGGGAUAUGUUAGAACACCCUGAAAUACAGUGCAUGUGGACUUGGCAAAUGCCAUGCUCCCUAUGUCUAACAGCACUUCCUGGAGGUUGAAGAGUGGUGAUUUUCUGUCUAUGAUCUAUAGAUAUCAGUACUUCACGUCUGAGGUGUCUGCAGUAGGUAACUUGAAAGAAGUUUAUAUGUAGUUUAUACUGUAGUUUAUGUGAAAUUUGGCAUUUAUAGGUCAAAACCAGUAAAGCCACUAGCAUACAACCGUAUAAUGUCUUAUGCAUUUUUUUGUCGGUUAUUGGUAAUUUAAGACACUUUAAUUGUCUACAGCCUUUGUAGUUACCAUGAAAAUGUGUUGCAUUUUGGGCUGUUAUUGAGCCAGGAACCUGAUGAAAUGCUGAUCAUAAACUUCUUUCCCUCUCCCUGUUAUUGCACUAAAUGCAUCUGGUCAAAUGAAAUCAAAUGAUUUGACAACAGGUCAGUUUAUAACACAGCUUUUAAAAUUAUUUUUAUGUAAUAUAUAUAAAACUACGAAUGCAACUUUAUUAUAUUAACAAAGGCAUUGCAAGCAUGAUUAUGCGUGCAAUUGAGAAAUUGUCACAGAAUUAGAAGCUGGGGGAUCCCAUUGCAGGUCAUAGUUGGGUGAGUCUAUGCACAUUAUUAUUAUUGUGCCAUGUAGACUAACUAAAUCUGGUUGGCACUAGCUAAUUCAUUGCAUUUAAUUGUAGAGGUGUUAUGAUUUUUCUGACAGUGGUUAUCGUGCAAGUCAGCACUGAACGUCCUCCCAGCUCUUUGUUUCUCCUUACCAUGUAUUGCAUCUCUUCCUGCAAGUUCUCAUCUUCUGUAGGUGUCAUCUUCCCUUUCUCCAUACAGAUGUCCCAGUUGCACUGAUCGUGUAUUCCCUUCCCAGGAUCUCCUCUGCUUUCACCAACACUGCAUGAGGAGGACCAAGGCAAGAACUGCAAAACACCUCUCUGUCCACCUUACACAAUCCGUGAUCAAAGAAUCUUGCCACUGCUGUAUCCUUGGAAUAUCUUUUGAAGAAAGAUGAGAUAAGCAAUGAGUUAAGGCUAAUUCUUCUAGCUUAAACUCAGGGAUAAACACUGACUUUGGUUGUAAUCCAUGAAAUGGAGGGAUUUUCUCAUACUUUUUGCAGAGGUUUAACUGGUGUAAGGUAACAUAUAUUUUCCAAAAAUAAAAAUGUAGCUGAGAUUCCAUUUCUCCUCUGAUGGGAACCAGCCAGCCUAGUGGACAACAGGCACUGCAGCUCAGCUAUCACUACUCUAGCUGCCACAUUUUCUGAACUGACUCCAGAAAGAUCUUUCUUUUUUCUUGACUCAGUUCCAUAACUAAAAAAUGAAUAACAAAUUGUCUUUCUGUCCUUCUUUUCUGUAACAAUUCAAAGGAGUCUGGAAGGCAGUGAGGACUGCCCACUGCACUGCAUCCAAAGCAGUGAACCCUGAGAAAGAAGGUAACAAUGAAGUAUACAUUUUAAAGAAUCACAGAACUCAGAAGUUUUUUUCCUAAAUUAUUCUUUAAUAUGUCAUUUUGAAUUUGCAUUAGCAUAGACUGAGAAACUUGAAUGGACUGAUGUACUGAAUAUUGAUUUAAUUCUAUGAAUUCAUAUUGAGAAAAAUAUAGUAGUAAAAAUUGAUAAAAAUACACAUUUACUAAUACAUGUAUUUCUAUAAAUAAUGGAAAGCCUCCUCAUAAUAUUUUACAUUGAGAACUAAAAAGGAUCCUUUGUGGAAUAUGUGUUUUUUUUCUGUCUUACAUCAAGCAAUUAUUAUUAUUAUUAUUAUUAUUAUUGUAUGCAUUUACUUUAUUUAUUGAUUUUUCUAUUGUUUAUGAUGUUGAUAGUGCUGUAUUAUGACUUUCAAAGGUGAUUUUCUGACAAUGGAAGUACACGAUCAAGUGUAAUUCAAACCUUAGGUACAUAUUACCUCAGUUACUUCAAGGAUUUAAGUGCAAUGGCAGCGAGAAAGGAGAAAGGUCCCAACUCUGCUGCAGACAGCUUUUGUGACCCUGGUCAAACUGCUUAAACUCUCUGAGUGAAAUCCUACCACCACGAAAGUCAAGAGGAUUUUUGCCAUUUAUUUGAAUGGGGAAAGGACAUAUUUGAAUUCUGAAUUGUUAAUAAGAACAGGAUAACAUGUAUCUAACUCUCACAGCUCUUGUGAAGCUAAUUAAUCAGUAGAGUACUUUGGGAUCCUCAGAAGUAUAAUAGAAACUGCAAGUACUAUUAUUUAUUUGUCAUGUAAUUGGAAGCUAGCAGGGUAAAAAGUCAUUGAUAAAAAUCCAUAUCACAAGGUCAUUUCUUUCAAUGUUGCAAAUCUCUUCUUCAAUCAAGAGCUUUGUAACUGAUGAAAAGUACAGCCUAAUCAUAACAUUAUCAAGUCAAUUUAAUUGGUGCACAUGAGAUCAUAAUGAAGUCAUUUUUGCUAGUUACAGGCUUAAAAAUAUUUUUAUAUCACCCUUCAUCCUAGUGGAAACUUUAAAGACCUCACAGACAGGAUUAAGCUUCUCUGCCUGUGUUAUACAUCUGCCUUUGUGUGGCAGACACUGUCUGGUUUUAUAGUGUUUAAAAAUUUUACUGGUAAGUAUGAUAUUAUAGUGUUUAUACCUAUUAUCUAUUAAGUCAUUUACACUUUUAAUAUUAGUGUUCAUAUAUGCCAAAGUGCAGAGGCUGCACUUGUGGAUUAAAGGGGGUUCUGAAGUAGUAGACUUUUCUUGUUUUUAAGUUAAAACACCAAUAAUUGUCACUAUUGCUCAAUCAGUUUUUAAGCACACUCUUUGUCUGUGGAAAUACCUUUCCUGCUGGCUGAAAUGUCUGCAUGUUUUUGCACAAUGUUCUGUUUCAUUUUGGCAGAAACUUGAAGCCCAAAAACUAAAAUUGGUUUGGAAGUGAAGGUUUGGAGCAGCAAGGCUCCUACCAGCAAGCCCUAUUAUGUUGAUGAGAUUGCUUAAUUUACCUUGAUGUAAGCUUCCCUAUUGCAGCACAUGGAAGCAGUGCUAUAUAUAUAUAUUUUUAUUUUUCCACUCAUAGCCAAUGUGCGUGCAGAACUGGUGUGUCAGUGUCAGGGUCCUCUUGCCUCUUGCACUCUUGCACAUGCAUGGCUCUCCUCUUCAAGUAGUGCUCUCUGUGGCUGCAAAUCCUCAUGGACUACAGCCACAUUAUUACUCACACUGAAGUUCAUUGUACCACACUGACAAUGUUAAAGGGACACGAAAGGGAAUGCUAAAGGUAUCCUUCCAUCUACAGUAGUUGAAGGAUCCUGCCAUGUAAGAUCUGCCAAGCACUGGGUAUAAUGCUUUUUUCCAUUGGUUUGUUCUCCAGGCACCAGUUGGUGGCAUUGCUGUAAAAGUCCUGUACAUCCAUUGGAAUUUAGUUUAGCCCAACCAAUGCCUCAGGUUUACCGUGAAUACAAAUAAAAUCAGGAUUCCCAGUUUCUCUCUCCAAGAAAAACAUCUGGGCUCUUAGGAAACAGAGAACACAUCACCCUUCAGGCUGGCAGAGGUUUUGCUUUACAUGUUCCUGGAUAACUUGAGAAAGGAUGAGGAAGGAAUUAAUGCCUGUAGAAAACACUGUAAAUACAUUUACAUCCAGCUGUAAGAUAUACCCCUAAAAGUCAGUGGUGCUUCUAACUUGUACAUUUCAAUAUUGAUUCUUUGAAUAUUGGGUAUUACCAAGAAAAUAUCAGGGCCAGCAGGUAUGUAUUUUUGCCAGAAGGCAGGGUAAGUGACUUGCCUGUGUCUGCCAGAGGUCAUGCUUCCAACGCUCCUGAAGGCAGCAGCUGCCAAGCUGGGUGCCCAGAAGAGCUGCAUGCCCUUCAGACAAACCUUUCCGUGCCCCUCGUUCCUUGCAACGAUAACAUGAACCUAAUUUUCGUCCAGAGCUUAUCACAGAUAGACCUCAUUGUGCCACAAUACAUAUAAACGGUAGUAUAAUCUGGUGUCUUCUGAAGUUUAAGUUUUAUAUUAGCAACCUCCUAGCUUCAGAUUUCAACAUACACAUAUUACAAUUCUUCACUGUGGGAGUUAAGAGGUGGUGUGCUGUGCUUGCAAGGAUAUUUAGGAAUGAACCAGAAGCCAAUUAUGCACAGAAGAAAAAAGACAUAUAUAGGCAAUCUUAUUUGUGGAUUAAAAAAAAAAGCAUUGUGAUUUCCCCACAUUUCUGGUUUUUCAGAUGUAUUUAUUCUCAAUAUUCUCAAUCAAAAAUGCUCAAAAAUUGCGUUCAGUUUUCAUUGGUAGGUACCUCCUAUUUUUGUGAACUCAAAAUAGAUGGAUGGGUAAGAAACAUAGUUACAAGUAUUGAUGCUAAAUUGUUUGUUUGAAUACUUGCACCACUAAACAGAUUUCCUGAAGUUGCUUCAGGUCUUGAACAGCAAAAUGGUUGGAGGAUGAUUUAAGUGGCCUGACUUACUUACAAAUUUGAGGAAAUAGCACAGAACUAUUUUAACAGUACUCACUUCAUGC